rnacentral:snRNA from 1 species
AAACUUACCUGACGCGAGAGGCACCUUGAUCAACUAGGAGGUCCUCUCAGGAUUAGGCCCUUUCAUUGCAAUUUGACUGGGUUGACUCCUGCGAUUACCCCUAAUGUGGGUAACUCGAGCAUAUAAUUUCUGGUAAUGGGGACCUGUGUUCGCGCUCGGCUCCU